GAUGAACGCUGGCGGCGUGCCUAAUACAUGCAAGUCGAGCGAACAGACGAGGAGCUUGCUCCUCUGACGUUAGCGGCGGACGGGUGAGUAACACGUGGAUAACCUACCUAUAAGACUGGGAUAACUUCGGGAAACCGGAGCUAAUACCGGAUAAUAUAUUGAACCGCAUGGUUCAAUAGUGAAAGACGGUUUUGCUGUCACUUAUAGAUGGAUCCGCGCCGCAUUAGCUAGUUGGUAAGGUAACGGCUUACCAAGGCAACGAUGCGUACCCGACCUGAGAGGAUGAUCGCCACACCGGGACCUACGACCCGGUCAGGCCUCCGAGGGAAGCAGCAAGUAGGGAUACUUCGGCAGGGGGGGAAAGCCUGCGGAACAACCGCCCCGUGGGUGAGGAGGGUCUUCGGGUCGUAAAACUCGGUAAUUCGGGAUGAACAAAUGUGUAGGUAACUGUGCCCUUGUGGACGGUCCCUAUCCAGAAGGCCACGGUAAACAGCGU
rnacentral:rRNA from 1 species